UUCAAUUCCCCAUUCUUGUUUAAUUUUUAUUUACUAAACUUUUGCCCAGAAAACCCUAGGUUUCGCCCCCUAGUUUAACCUAGCUAUAAAUAUUAUUUUUACUCCUAUUUGUCAAAAUUUUCCCACUUUCUGCUUCCCCUUGUUGUCCCCUACAUUUUCCCUUACUGUUUCUCUAAUUUUUUCUUCCUUUUCUUCCUCUUUGUGUUGCCCCAUUAAUCAUCAACUUCCCUUGCCUCGUAUUUUAUUUUGCUGCUAUCUUUUUAUUGCCAUUAUCUCACCCUUGUAGCCUAUUUUCUCCUCCAUUUUUGUCGUCCCAGUAAGCCACCAUCUUUGCCACCCUUUUGAUUCUCUUCCUCUACUCUUCGUUAUUUCUUUUGUCGUCACGGUUCUGAACAAGUGAAGUAAGUGUAGAAUUUUCACUUUAAUUCUUUUAGAUCUAAGUUUUUUUUUCCUUCUUUUCAUAUUCUAAUAUGGCUGAUUGAUUUUUGGCAUGGCCGAAUCUUUCAAGUUACUUUUUCUUUGGUGUUUGAAUGUUCAAGAUCUAGAUCCAAACCAUAUGGAUCAGCCAUAACGUUGGGAAGACUGUUUGCAAACUCAUCGUAAGUCAGUUAAGGUAAGCAUUAAUUUUCCACUUCAAAUCUGAAGUUUUCAAUUAAAAUUUGUUGCUUGGUCAAACCCUAUGGGGGCAAUAGGGGGCUGGUUUUUAAUGAUUAAAACUUUAUUGGGUACAGAUCUGAGUGGGAGCUAUUUAGAUCUCAAGCCUAAGAGUUGUGAGAAAGCGAUAGAAUUCAGAUUAGCGUUAAAACGUGUGAGUUUUCCCCUAUGCCUAAUUAACUUGAAAAUCAUAUAAUAUAUAUUGAAAUGGUAAAUUUGCUUGCUGGUUUUGGUUUGUCCGAAUGGCUUAAGUGCAAAUAAGUGAGGUGCCGAGCAAGGUACGUAAACAAUUAGAAAGUCUACUUCUUAAAGGUCCUGUUUGGGUGAUGAAAUUGUGAAUUGAAUGUAUGUAUAGCAUGCUAGAUUUUGAAACACUGAUUGAGGUGCAUGUUUUAUGCCAUGAUUGACAUUGACUGUAUGAAACCAUGUUAGCAUGCCAUCGUUACCGUUAAAUGAAAAAUAUGUGAAGCACAUAUUUACAUUGAAUAUUGACUUGCAUGUUAAACAUGCUAUUGUACUAAAACAAUUACUGAAAGCAUGAUGUGCUUACUGAUUAUAUGACAUGUUUCAUCUGUAUAGGGUGGGUAUUUUUGGUUGAUGGAGGAGUUUCGUGGAGUACUGGCAGCAUUUAAAGUCCGCAAUAUUGUUAUCAGUGCACUGCACCGGAGUACCGAUGAUAUUGGGUGAUUUAUAGCAUUUUACUGGCAGUUUUAUCUACGUACUAUCACCGGUGGUUUUAACCACACCGAACUUUGGCUUUUACAGUUUUGGAGUUCGGAUGAUGGGUUAUGGGGAACGCGUGGUUUGUAGAGGAUGGUUGGGUAGGAUUAUUGCACUAUAUCAUUGAGCAUGCCAUAUUCAUAUGUUGUAAUGCCAUGAUAUUUGAAAUGUUAUAAUAAUUGUGUGCCUAUUUGACUGAUUAAAUGCUUAUAUUGCUUAGACUCGCCCCUAAUUUACUCCUUACAAAUAACCAUCAAAACUAGGGUCAUAUUCGGCGUAUAAGUCCUUAUAUAAGAUUUUUACCUAAUAAAGUUUAUUUCGAUUUGAAAGGUUACAUUUGGUGGUAUUAGAGCCUGAUUUCUAGUAACUUAGCCUAAAAGAAACUGAAUCUGCAUGCAUAUU
rnacentral:lncRNA from 1 species